rnacentral:lncRNA from 1 species
UCGGGAAGGCGGCCAAAACGGGCCAAGACCGGGCUGCCAUAUCCAUUUUUCCAGCUGCUGUCCACUGCUGGUUGAGGCCAAGAAAGGGUAGAUCCGGUGCUUGGAUGAGAUGGGGAAGGACCGGGGAAGGUUGAGGGGUCGAACCGGACCUAGGCGGGGCCCGAACGGUGGCCGGAGGUGGCCGAACGGCUCCGGCACGGGCUGAUGCAGCAGCUGCGAAGCGAGUUGAGGCGGAGCGGAGACGGUGCAACGGCGGGCCGGCGAGCGCGCGCGAGCGGCGCGGGAACGGACGCACGGCGGCGGCGGCGACGGCGGCGUGCGAGCGGGUGGCCGGCCAUGGCUGCUCCUUCUUCUUCUCUGCAAAUUUUUCUGGUCCUUCGCACCAAGAAGAUGGAGGAGAAACCAACGGAAGGGAGAGAGGAAGGAGAGAGGAGGAGAGAGAA